rnacentral:rRNA from 1 species
UACGUAGGUGGCAAGCGUUGUCCGGAAUCAUUGGGCGUAAAGCGCGCGCAGGCGGUCCUUUAAGUCUGAUGCGAAAGCCCACGGCUCAACCGUGGAGGGUCAUUGGAAACUGGGGGACUUGAGUGCAGGAGAGAAGAGUGGAAUUCCACGUGUAGCGGUGAAAUGCGUAGAGAUGUGGAGGAACACCAGUGGCGAAGGCGACUCUUUGGCCUGUAACUGACGCUGAGGCGCGAAAGCGUGGGGAGCAAACAGG